rnacentral:ribozyme from 13 species
ACAGAGAAGGGCGAAAAGACCAGGGCAAUAUGUGUGCUUUGCUGCUUUUUUUUUUCGAUUGUUCUUUUUUGCAAAUUUUUUCUCUUUUUUUUCUCCCCGUUUUUGGGGUUUUU